rnacentral:rRNA from 1 species
AUAGAGACUCAGAGCUGCAUAUCAAUAAGCGGAGGAAAAGAAACUAACAAGGAUUCCCCUAGUAACGGCGAGUGAAGCGGGAAGAGCUCAAAUUUGAAAUCUUAAAGGGUUUCCCUUUACGAAUUGUAGUUUAAAGAAGUGUUUUCUGUUGGAGUUUCGGUAAAAGUUCUUUGGAAUAGGACAUCAUAGAGGGUGAGAAUCCCGUACUUGACCGUUACUUUCCAGCUGUGUGAUACACUUUCAAAGAGUCGGAUUGUUUGGGAAUGCAGUCCAAGAUGGGUGGUAAAUUUCAUCUAAAGCUAAAUAUUGGCGAGAGACCGAUAGCGAACAAGUACCGUGAGGGAAAGAUGAAAAGAACUUUGAAAAGAGAGUUAAACAGUACGUGAAAUUGUCAAAAGGGAGGCGUUUGACACCAGUGUUGUUUAGUUGAAAAUCAAUUCAAUAGUUUUUGAUUCUAAGUAGUAUUGACUUCAUCAGCUUGCUGCUUUCUUCUCAGAAAUUAUUGAAUGCACUUUUCAGUUAACAAGUCAACAUCAAUUUCUUUUGUUGUAAAAGGGUAAGAGGAAGGUGGCUUGCGCUUCGGCUCAAGUGUUUAUAGCCUUUUAUCUCUGCAAUCGGAGAGAUUGAGGUCUGCAGCGUAGAUCCUUCGGGGUUAGAUACAUUGGUGCUAAGCUAUAGCCUUGUAUAGACAACUUGUUGACUAUGCUCAGUCAUGUAGCUUACUCGCUGAUGCUAUUUUACCUACGCUUAGGAUGUUGAUAUGCAUGACUGAUAU